AGUGAACGCUGGCGGUAGGCCUAACACAUGCAAGUCGAACGGCAGCACAGUAAGAGCUUGCUCUUACGGGUGGCGAGUGGCGGACGGGUGAGGAAUACAUCGGAAUCUACUUUUUCGUGGGGGAUAACGUAGGGAAACUUACGCUAAUACCGCAUACGACCUACGGGUGAAAGCAGGGGAUCUUCGGACCUUGCGCGAUUGAAUGAGCCGAUGUCGGAUUAGCUGGUUGGCGGGGUAAAGGCCCACCAAGGCUACGAACCGUAGCUGGUCUGAGAGGAUGAGCAGCCACACUGGAACUGAGACACGGUCCAGACUACUACGGGAGGCAGCAGUGGGGAAUAUUGGACAAUGGGCGCAAGCCUGAUCCAGCCAUACCGCGUGGGUGAAGAAGGCCUUCGGGUUGUAAAGCCCUUUUGUUGGGAAAGAAAAGCAGCAGGUUAAUACCCCGCUGUUCUGACGGUACCCAAAGAAUAAGCACCGGCUAACUUCGUG
rnacentral:rRNA from 1 species